rnacentral:misc_RNA from 1 species
GAUGAAGAACGUAGCGAAAUGCGAUAAGUAGUGUGAAUUGCAGAAUUCAGUGAAUCAUCGAAUCUUUGAACGCACAUUGCGCCCCUUGGUAUUCCAUGGGGCAUGCCUGUUCGAGCGUCAUUUGUACCUUCAAGCUCUGCUUGGUGUUGGGUGUUUGUCUCGCCUCUGCGUGUAGACUCGCCUCAAAACAAUUGGCAGCCGGCGUAUUGAUUUCGGAGCGCAGUACAUCUCGCGCUUUGCACUCAUAACGACGACGCCCAAAAGUACAUUUUUACACUCUUGACCUCGGAUCAGGUAGGGAUACCCGCUGAACUUAAGCAUAUCAAUAAGCGGAGGA